GGGGGUGAUCCGGUUUCGACGGAGUGCGUUGAGGUCAGAUCGCGCGUCGAGGAUUCUCGUUGGCCUCGUUAAUAAACGAGAAAAACAGUAAUUGCGAACAACGAUUACGCUCUCGCGGCCUAACUUAUAGCCCGCAUGUCGCCCGGCCGACGCCUGCUGAGCCGCCGCGGCAUCAUCUAGCAGGACUUGGUCCGGAGCGCUCCGCUCGCGCGUCGGAACCACGUACAACCGAACGGAUGAUUCGGGAUAAGCCCGCCUGUCGGCAUACCCGUUUCGAGAUCAAAGGCCGGCUACACGCGUAGAAGUCUGGUUGAUUCCAUUUCGGACAGGGGUUCGACUCCCCUCACCUCCACCA
rnacentral:tmRNA from 1 species